rnacentral:rRNA from 1 species
UACGAAGGGGGCUAGCGUUGCUCGGAAUUACUGGGCGUAAAGGGCGCGUAGGCGGGUCGUUUAGUUGGGGGGGAAAGCCCAGGGCUCAACCCUGGAAUUGCCUUCAAUACUGGCGACCUAGAGUAUGACAGAGGUGUGUGGAACUCCGAGUGUAGAGGUGAAAUUCGUAGAUAUUCGGAAGAACACCAGUGGCGAAGGCGACACACUGGGUCAUUACUGACGCUGAGGCGCGAAAGCGUGGGGAGCAAACAGG